rnacentral:rRNA from 1 species
CCAGCAGCAGCGGUUAUACGUUAUUAUAAAUUAAUUUAUACUGAAUAAAUACAUUUAAUAUAUUUUUAUAAAAAAUGAAAUUUCUAAUAAAAAUAAUACAAAAAUCACUCUACUUAAAAGCCUAAAACCAGGAUUAGAUACCCUGCUAUUCUUACCUUUACAAUAAUUCAAAGAAAAAAAACAAAAUAAAUUUGACGGUAUUAACUUUUACAAAGGAAUUUGUUUCUUAAUCGACAAUCCACGAAUUACCUUACUUAGCAAAUAUUUGUAUACCACUGUAAAGAAAUUAUCCAAAAUAAAUUUCAAAAGAGAAAAAACUAAAAAAUCAAGUCAUGGUGCAAUUUAACUAAGAUGAAAUGAAUUACAUUUAUUUAUAUAAAAUAUGUAAGAUGAAAACUCCUAUAAAAAUAGAAUUUGUCAGUAAAAUUUUAUCAUUAUGACAAUUUGAAAACUAACAUUAAUAUGUACAUAUCGCCC